rnacentral:misc_RNA from 1 species
GCAUCAUUUUUCCUGUGUCCAAUACUAUAAUUCUCCAGGGUUUUUCGACAUUUAUCAUCUGUCAAUUUUCUUCUAAAGUUAGCAAUAUUUUCAUAAGGCAUUUUUUGAAAGCUUUGUUCUUGCGUGUAAUCAGUCUUUGGUUACAAUUGUCCAUAUAUUCCUGAGACAUUGCCAAAAGUUCCUCUUUUUUUUAUGAUCUUUA